rnacentral:rRNA from 1 species
GCUAGUCGUGCGCCUCCAGCCAUGGUGGAGGCGCGGCGCACAGCUCAGUAACACGUGGCUAACCUGCCCUUGGGACGGGGAUAACCCCGGGAAACUGGGGCUAAUACCCGAUAGGCGAGGACUCCUGGAAUGGGUCUUCGCCGAAAGGGCGCCUGGACCAUGCUCUAGGCGCCGCCCAAGGAUGGGGCCGCGGCCGAUCAGGUAGUUGGUGAGGUAACGGCUCACCAAGCCUAUAACCGGUACGGGCCGUGAGAGCGGGAGCCCGGAGAUGGACACUGAGACAAGGGUCCAGGCCCUACGGGGCGCAGCAGUCGCGAAACCUCCGCAAUGCGGGCAACCGCGACGGGGCCACCCCGAGUGCCGCCCGAAGAGGGCGGCUUUUCCCCGGUCUAAACAGCUGGGGGAAUAAGCGGGGGGCAAGUCUGGUGUCAGCCGCCGCGGUAAUACCAGCCCCGCGAGUGGUCGGGACUUUUAUUGGGCCUAAAGCGUCCGUAGCCGGCCCGGCGAGUCCCCCCUUUAAUCCCACGGCCCAACCGUGGGGCUGGGGGAGAUACUGCUGGGCUAGGGGGCGGGAGAGG